GCUGGGGUUGUAGCUCAAUGGUAGUGCGAUUACCUAGUAUGUGUGAGGCACUGGGUUCAAUUCUCAGCACAGCA
rnacentral:tRNA from 1 species